rnacentral:rRNA from 1 species
AAAGCAGGUCAUAGUGAUCCGGUGGUUCUGAAUGGAAGGGCCAUCGCUCAACGGAUAAAAGGUACUCCGGGGAUAACAGGCUGAUACCGCCCAAGAGUUCAUAUCGACGGCGGUGUUUGGCACCUCGAUGUCGGCUCAUCACAUCCUGGGGCUGAAGUAGGUCCCAAGGGUAUGGCUGUUCGCCAUUUAAAGUGGUACGCGAGCUGGGUUUAGAACGUCGUGAGACAGUUCGGUCCCUAUCUGCCGUGGGCGCUGGAGAACUGAGGGGGGCUGCUCCUAGUACGAGAGGACCGGAGUGGACGCAUCACUGGUGUUCGGGUUGUCAUGCCAAUGGCACUGCCCGGUAGCUAAAUGCGGAAGAGAUAAGUGCUGAAAGCAUCUAAGCACGAAACUUGCCCCGAGAUGAGUUCUCCCUGACCCUUUAAGGGUCCUGAAGGAACGUUG